CGUGAGUUCAGCGCUAAAGCGGAACUGCCACUGUUUGGUUUCCCUCAGCGGGUCAGAGGCUAACCGGCUAACAGGCGAACUUUAUACCAUUAACACGCUUUAUCGCUUAUAUUUAAACCGGUUAUAACUGGUAAGGUUUGCGACCUCUACCACCAUUAUUUGCACGGUUUUCCUUCCGUACAAAAUUACGUAGUUUACCCAGAAACUUAAAACUAUUAAACUGCAUUCGCCGGGAUUAGCUCGCAAGCUAGCAGGCUAACCGGCCAGUGUUCUACAGCUAUUGUAGCUAGGUUAGUAUUCUUAACGAAGUUUUAUCAUUUUUACACAUCUUUCUUUUCCAUUUUAGACAGUUACAGUUACGUAACUGUCUAAAAAGAUAAUUAAGCUGAUGAAUGUGUAGUUAGCUUUGGUGGAAAAGAGUGUGGUGUGAAGAAAUCUGUGGAUCUUCUUUCACAAAACAACAAAGGCGGUUUCCAGAAUGGUGUUUGAGCUCCUGCUCUCCUCUGUGUGGCUGUUGUUCGUUGUGUUCUGGGUGGAGACCAUCAGCGUCUGGCUGUUCCUUUGCCUGUUUUAUCAGGACAGAGCCUUCUACCAUUGGGGUGAUGGGGUGUUUGCUGAUGACCCUGGCCAGAUGAUGUACAUGUUGAGCAGAGCAGAACGUUCUGAGCACGCUCAGACCUGAGGAUGCACUGCGGUCGUCAGUUUGGAGCGCCUGACCGACCGACCCACAUGUUGGACAGUGGAGGAAUCAGCCUGAUGGGGUGAAAACUGACCUUCAGUCUGCUGCUCUUGCUUUCUUUUAACACUCUGCACUUGGCGAGAAGCGUCUUUAAAUAAGGUGUCCCGUGGCUGGAGGUGGAGCGUUUGCACUCAGCUUGUGGAGGUGUCCAGAGGAGCGCAGGCGGCUGCAGUGAAUGUAGAAACUGUCUUGGGUGUUAAAAUGGGAUCUUUGAAGUCUAAAUCUCUGAUGGUGUCUCAGAAGGUAGCUUGGGAUAAUGUUUUCUGCUUUUCCAGCACGUUUCCAGUCAGUGGGGUAUAUAAGCUAUCUGUAGAAGCUACAAGCUUUAGUUGAUUUUGUUCUAACUUGACUGUAAUUCCAACAACCACUAUAUAGCAGAUGGUUUGUCAAGCAUAACGUUUUUGAACGUUUUUCACACGUGAACGAGUUUUACCUCACUUCGAGACUCCUCCAAUGUCUUUGAAACGGGGCCUUUAACAAAUAGUUUAGUUUCUCUUUCCGGAUCUUGAUUUUAGUAGGCAUGGAAUGCGCUAGAACAGCCAGAAUACUGUAACAUGAUUUAAAUAUAAAAAACACUGGUGAAUCAGAAACUUGACAUAGCAUUAAAAGAUUAGCAUUUGUUUUUUACUGACAUCCUUUCCUUUUGUUAAACGGCAUGAAUUAAUUAAUUAAUUAGAUAUAGGACUGUCGCAAUAAUUACGCUAUUGACAACCUCAAUAUUGCCUUUGUGUUUGUUCUUAUGUCUUUCUUUCAGCAAUGGUUUUCUUCUUGCCUCUGUUCCAUAAAGGACAGUUUGGUGGCGUGCAUGUUGUCUUAUAGUUGUCCUGUGGACAGAUUCUCCUGCCUGAGCUUUGAAUUUCUGCAGCUCCUUCAGAGUGACCAUGGACCUUGUGGCUGCUUGACCAUAAAAAUGGUCUGGGUUUGCUUCAUAAACCCCACAAAAAUUUCAGAAGUUUUUUUUUUUUUUUUUUUUUUUUUUUUAGGGUUUAAAAAUUGCAUCUGCAAAGAACCAUUCAUUUCAAGGUUUUGUUGGAAUUAGUACGGGUCCCCAAAAAACACAGGUACAUUGUGACAAAUGUUCGGUGCAUUUCCCGUAAUUAAUAAUCUUAGCGAUUUUACAAAUGAAUCUUAUAACUGGAUAAGGACCUUCAGAAUCACAAACAAAACUCAAGCUGUAUAUUUUAUUUUUGUUUGUAUUGGAUGUAGUUUAUAUGAUGCGUUGAUUUUUACUUAAAAUAAGUGACUUCUUAAGCGCAAAAAGACGUCCGUAAGCCAUUAUGAAGUGGUUUAGAAUUCUCUAAGGUUAAGAACAAGUUUAAGAACUUCAUAACUUUUGGGAAAUGCUCGUAAUUUUAAGAAUGUUGAGGUUACAAAGUUCUCAGUCUUAAGAACAUUUUGGGAAACGCAUCCUUGUUGUUUUGGUGUCUACAACAUUGCCACAAUGUCAAAAUAUCUUCUUUUUUAAAAUGAGUGUUUUGAUGUCUCAAUUUUGGAAAAUUCUUAAAAAUCUUAUGACCAGAACCAGGUUGUGACAACGUUGUGACAAUGUAGUAGAUAAAACAUAACCAAUGUAACAUUUAGAUAAUGUCUUGGCAACGCUGUUAUAAAGUAGACAAUGUUGUGAGGCUUUGUGUGUUUUCUGGGAAAAUAAGAAUCUGGUUGGACAACAGAGCAGCUUGUCUAUAAUAGAGAUUAUAGAUAGUCCAGGACUAUAGACAAUGAAGGCCUUUAACACAUGGUGCAGGUAGUGCCGAUCUGAGUGUACUCUGCUCUGAUUGUAAACAAAGAGUUAAUGAAGUUUUUUUUAUUUUUUUUGGCACCACUAAAGUGAAUAAAGAGAACUGAAAUGUGAUGAUGUUUUUGUAAAAAGACUGGACUCUCUUCUUAGAACCUCAGAAGAGUUCUGUAAGUGUUUGCACUGUGCCUGACUUGUUUAUACUGGAUUACUGUUCCUAUUGUUUCUUCAGUUUGUUUACUAAGCAAUAAACCAACUUUUCAAAAAACA